UGGUCUCUUGGGCUGUGAGGUUGGAAAAACCUCAAAUCUGUGGGUGAUUUAAAGCUACAUGUAGUUUCUUGUAACUGUCAAGAGAUGGCGGGGUACAAUUCCUUUACUGAUAUUUUAAAACAAAACAAUAAAUCUGACAACAAUAAAGAAAAAUUUCCCAUUUACACAUAUUUCGGGCAGAAUAAUCUUCCCGUUGAACACACUUUCUUCACAAAGUCCUUCUUCCAUAACUUAAUUUUACCGAUAACCAAAAAACUUUAUCAGCUGCAAUUUCAAACCGUAAAACUUUUCCCCCAUAACGCUUUCGUCACGUAAUUUAAGUCCACUGGUAACGAUAAGUCAUUUAUUUGGCACCCUGGUUUGAAGCCCCGAACACCCCGGAGAGGCACUUAAGCUAUUGCUGUUUUGAGUGGGACAGCGUCUCCUGUCGACCGACAGACAGCAACCCGAGGCCACCACGAGAAACCGGUUGGCAGCAACAGCUAUUGGCUUGCAGUUCUACAUUUCUUUUUUCCUUUCUUACCUGAGAAUACCUGUAACAGCCACUUGACUUUCAAACUCGGGUAAGGAAGCCGGGCGCUGUGUUAGAAUCAACCCCCCCAAAAUACGAAUUCAGUCGUUGUUCUGUGUGUUGGUGUCUCGUGUGUAACUCAAAUUCACUUCAAGGCAAAGAAAACUGUGGGAGUGAGGUUUAUCUGUUUGCUGAUAUCUGAAAUCAGCCACGACUUCAAAGGACCUAUUCCAUACCUCAAUACAGGCUGCCCCAAAUCUAGACCCUUUCUUAGUCAAUCAGCAAACAGUCAGCCAGAUAUUCUUCAAACACUAAGUAAGUUACUCGUCGAGUCAGUCAGGAAGGCAACUCUAAUGGAGCUGUCAAACACGGGAGAAGUAAAGACAAAUGGAACAAAGGAAGAUAGUACCUGCAGAUCCAAACGAAUGAAGCCCCUCGUUCAAGGACUCCGGCUAACCAGAAAUGGCGAACUGUUCUCUUAAAACAGUUAACGUGCAUCGCAGCGCGACCAACAGGUCAAUGUCACUUACAAGGACACCCAUACAAAAAUUUUAAUUAUUUGAUUACCCCUUUUUGUAGGCAGGCCGCUUUAAGAAGCUGUCCAGGACCACCUCACGUCAGGAUAACCACAUUUGCUACCACGUGAUCAGACUUACCCCGAAUAUAUCUCCGGGUUUUGUAGUCUGAGUUAAGAAAAGAAAAAGUUCUCAAUAAUUACGCCAGACGUCACUAACAUACGCAGGGCCAAAUAUUUUCGCAUCCCGCUCAUAGAUGUCAGGAGCACGACAACGAAAUAAAGUAUUUCCUACUCCCUCGAUAAUUUGUGUCUGGACAUGAAUUUUUUUUAAAAAAAAAUUGUACUCCUCUAAUUGAUAUUUUUUUCUGUAAUUUUCGUCAACAUAAAUUGUUCUGUGCUGGUAUCACACUGUGACUUCUUUUCUUUGUUGAAUGGCCACCAUCCAUCUGUCGGGGCUCAUUUGUUGAACCUCCGUCGCGAUCAGAACUGCAAGGCUGCUGAUGGGAUGGACUGUUCAACGCGCUCUGCCGCUCGCAUGGCAACAACACACAAGGUCAUCCAUCCUACCCACAACCUGUUCUGCGCGCCCACAUUUCACAGGCGGUACACAUCGUUCAAGUCACACCGGACUCUGAGCAGGUGUUCUACAGAUUCUGGAAGUCUGCGUGGAAUAAACAACUCCGCCACCAAAUAAAUUAUAAGGUUUUCUUGACAAGCCUACAAAGCUGUGUGCAGAUAAGAAGUGUAGCGAGGGGUGGUAACUCCACCACCGUUGGCUUAACUGCUAAAAUGGCGGCCAACGGUAGAGGAGUUCCUCAUUCUCGCUACACACAACACCUCACUGCAGGCUUCAAGAGACAUUAGUCCUACGUGCGAAGAAGAUGAAACUGAUGGAUAAUAUGAGUCUAAUUUGAGAAGAGAUCUGGUAGUCUUCAAUUUACGUCACGGGCGUGUCCUUAAAAACAUCGAUAUAUAUCUCACACACACGCACGCGCACUGAAACGGUGUAAAUGAUAAAUCAUUCGAUCCUUUGCUUUAAAAUGAAACUUUGCCAGUGUCGGAUAAAAUUUAUCUCAUUUAAGAUACGAAGAACAGAGAGAAAGUAAGUUUAAGUACAAGAUGUGUAAUGCGAAUCUCCACGUUUAGACUCAUUCGCUGUCUUUCUACGUAGGUGUCAUGAAAACUGAUUCGCGUGUCAUAAAGUAAGAUGUUUUCAGUCUACCCAAGACAGUAACCACUUUUCACUGCCGUUUUAAUAUCAUUACGUGACCUAUCACGUAUUUCUAAAAGGUAAAAACUGAUGAUACCAUGGAAAAAUUUGUACAAAAAUGAUUCAAAGGACACUACAGAGAAAAAUAGUUCCAGUUUUUGAGGUCUUCGUGGCCGUGAGUCUGAGGAUGGCUGUUUUCUGGGUCAUUGCACCGCGCAGUCUCGUAGAGAGUUUACUGACCCCUGAUGAUGGAGGCAGCAAGGAUAUCUGAAACGUCAGUAGACUUCUACCAGACUACGCGGUGCAACAAGACAGAAGAUUAGUUAACCAGCCAACCGACCACAAACGUAACUAAGGACGGAGUCUUCCACAGUCGCAAUACGAAGUCCUCUGGUUAGCUUUCACCAUUAACGUGUACGAAACGCAUUUCUGGAAAUGUUCCCUGUGUAAUCGCAUCCAGAAUUUAAAUUUUGUGAAUAUUAGUCACGGACUUUAAAUCAAUUAUAUCAAUAUUCAUGUCAUUAGUUACGUUUGUGUCCUGUCUGAUGUAGUUUAAUUCAUCUGUUUUCACGAUUUUAAGGAUUUAUUUUAUUGUACUGGAUUCUGACGUCUUGAAUAUUUAUCUCAAUAAUCAAAACUAUUUAUUAAAAUUCUGAAGUUAUAAAAUCUGUGACAGGAAAAGAGUCCAUAAAUGUAUGUAUCUGUUAUAGGCUUUAAGGUCUAAGAGAAUUAAUAAGACACAAAAUGACUUAUCUAUCAAAGGUGAACACAAACCACGAAAACACAAAGGAGAUGAACGCACCCCAAGGCAGCUGACCUCUGACCUCGUCAACCCAGCAACUACCAAGAAAGUAGCAAAUGUCUUAUAAGACCGACAAACCUCUGCUAAGAAAAAAUUAAUGUAUUCUUUUCUCAUGGGGGAUUUUUAUUUUGACUGUUUUGUAGUGAUAAUACUAAGUAUUGUCGCAAACUACUCACCUGCCACAUUUUACCUCGUGCAAUAACACGUGGAGAGAUGAAAAUAAUUUACUAACGCUAAAAAAAUAAUACGUGCAUACCGAAGUGAGUCUUUUGUUGAUGAACAAUCAGUUACGUGAAAGACUGGCACAAGAAGAAUGGAAUAUAAAAAUUACGAUAUUUAAAUAAUUAUUGUGAUUUCCUUAUAACGAAGACACGUGAAAGUGGCUGAAAUCUAGGAGGGGGAAAAAUAGUUAACAGAACUGACGAGGAUCGUUUAAAUUACAUGUCGAUGAUGAAGGAAGACAGAACUAGAUCAUAAAGAUCUAUUUUGAAACUUCUGAAUGUUGGAAUACGAUCGUAUAAGACGGUGGGAAAAUGACAAAUUAUUUUAAUCCCACAGGCUCUGAAGUUACGUGAAUCAGUGUUUUACAAAAGGCAUAGAUUAAUUAUUCUUGUAUAAUCUGAUAAUAACAAUAUAAACGCAAAA